rnacentral:snRNA from 11 species
AUACUUAACCUUGCAGGGAAGAUACCACAGUCAUGAAAGUGGUUUUCCCAGGAUGAAGCUUAUCCAUUGCACUCUGGAUACACUUGAUUCCUGCAAUUUCCCCAAAGGUGGGAAGCUCUAUUUUUAGUUAC